rnacentral:rRNA from 1 species
UACCUGGUUGAUCCUGCCAGUAGCAUAUGCUUGUCUCAAAGAUUAAGCCAUGCAUGUCUAAGUACGCACGGCCG